rnacentral:misc_RNA from 1 species
GGAAGUAAAAGCGUAACAAGGUCUCCGUAGGUGAACCUGCGGAAGGAUCAUUAUUGUAUAACCGAGGUGCGAGGGCUGUCGCUGACCCGAAAGGUCGUGCACGCCCGAGUGCCCUCACACGCAUCCAUCUCACCCCUAUGUGCACCACCGCGUGGGUCCCCCUUUGGCUUGUUCGGAGGGGGGCUUACGUUUUCACACAAACUUUGUAUGCAGUGUAGAAUGUAUUUUUUGUUUUUGCGAUCACGCAAUCAAUACAACUUUCAACAACGGAUCUCUUGGCUCUC